rnacentral:rRNA from 1 species
UUGAGUGAAGAAGAAAGACGCGGCAAGCUGCGAUAAGCUUCGGGUAGGAGCUAAACAUCCUUUGAUCCGGAGAUCUCUGAAUGGGGCAACCCGGCAUGGUUAAUACUGUGCCAUGCUUGCAUGAAUACAUAGUGCAAGCAGUGCAACGGGGAGAACUGAAACAUCUUAGUACCCCCAGGAAAAGAAAGUAAUAACGAUUCCCUGAGUAGCGGCGAGCGAACGGGGAACAGCCCAAACCGUGUAUGUGUCAAGCCCGAAAGCGUUGCAUAUGCGGGGUCGCGGGAUACAGUUUGACAAGGUUUCGGACUUGUCGAAGAGUACACAAAAUUGAUUGUUAGCUGAACCAGCUGGAAAGUUUGGACCAUAGAAGGUGACAGUCCUGUAAGCGAAAACAAUCAAUCUCUUUUAUUGUAUUCCCAAGUACUGCGGAACACGAGAAAUUCUGUGGGAAUUUGUGUGGACCAUCACAUAAGGCUAAAUACUACCUGGCAACCGAUAGUGAACCAGUACCGUGAGGGAAAGGUGAAAA